rnacentral:rRNA from 1 species
GCACUCUAAGUUGACUGCCGGUGACAAACCGGAGGAAGGUGGGGAUGACGUCAAAUCAUCAUGCCCCUUAUGAUUUGGGCUACACACGUGCUACAAUGGACAAUACAAAGGGCAGCGAAACUGCGAGGUCAAGCAAAUCCCAUAAAGUUGUUCUCAGUUCGGAUUGUAGUCUGCAACUCGACUAUAUGAAGCUGGAAUCGCUAGUAAUCGUAGAUCAGCAUGCUACGGUGAAUACGUUCCCGG